CAUACUGCACGUCGAACGACAUCUAUACUUAGUGGCAGACGGGUGAGUACCAUGUGGGUAUCUUCCCUUUGAUGAGGAAUUACACGAGGACAGUUGUGCUAAUACCUCAUAAGUCUAUUACGGUAGAAAGCUUUAUGCGCCAAUGGCUGCGCCCGCACUUGAUUAGUUUGUUGGUGGGGUACUGGCCUACCCAGACUGUGAUCACUAGCUGAUCUGAGAGGAUGCUCAGCCACAUUGGGACUGAGACACGGCCCACACUCCUACGGGAGGCAGCAGUAGGGAAUAUUGCGCAAUGGAGAGAACCUCUGACUGCACGCGACAUGCCGACGUGACGUGAACGACACGGCCCAUUGCGGUUUGUAAACGACUCUCUUCAGUCAGGAGGAACGAAACAUAGACUUGUACCCCGACAUACAGACAGGUCCGCGCUACCCUUACGUCGACCACGCACGCCAGCGGUAAAUCACGACCGGGACCCUACGACGUAUGUUACGGACAUUACCUGGCACUUACACGACGUACGUACCGUGUAAAACAAAGUUGGAUGUGACAUCCCGGCGCUUAACUCCGGCACUGCACUCAAACCUUCAUCACUAGAGUAUGAUCGAGGAAAGCAGACUUUCAAGUGUACAGGUGAAAUGACGCGACUAUAGCCCGCAUACCAAUAGCGAAAGCCGCUAUCAUGGCUCAUUAAUGACACUGAGGACGAAAGCCGGGUCGGAAACGAUAA
rnacentral:rRNA from 1 species